AUGAAGGAGGUACAUGAUGCAGGUAGAGAGGAUGAAGAAGAGGCAGAUUGGGAUCAAUAUGGCCCGUACCCAGAUUUGGGGGAUGCCUUUGAAGGAUUGAAGCUGCAGGGUGAGGAGGAAGAGGAAUUAGAUCUGUCAGGAGAGGUGGAUGAGCUGAUCAGUGAGGUGUGGUGGCUGGCCUUGUUUAGGGUUCAUACCCUACGUCCGUUUAGUCAAGCAGCUUUGUUGAAUUCCAUGAGGAACGCUUGGACUUGCGCACAAGGAGUCACUUUCAAUGUUAAGGGACCUAAUCUAUUCCUUGCUCAGUGUCAUUGUUUGGGGGAUUGGAAGCGGGUAAUGGAAGGAGGACCAUGGCAAUUUCGUCGGGAUCCGGUUGUGUUAGUGGAGUAUGAUGGUUUUACCAACGUUGCAAAAUACGCCUUGAACAUGUAUCCAUUAUGGGCAAGAAUUAAAGGUCUACCAGAUGGCCUUACUAGAGAAAAAAUUAGCGGAGAAAGUUGCAAAGAAGGUGGGAGAGCCCCCGUUUAUAGUAGUGGUUAA
rnacentral:rRNA from 1 species